rnacentral:rRNA from 1 species
UACGUAGGUGGCAAGCGGUGUCCGGAUUUACUGGGCGUAAAGGGUGCGUAGGCGGACCUUUAAGUGAGAUGUGAAAUCCCCGAGCUUAACUUGGGGGCUGCAUUUCAAACUGGAGGUCUAGAGUGCAGGAGAGGAGAGUGGAAUUCCUAGUGUAGCGGUGAAAUGCGUAGAGAUUAGGAAGAACACCAGUGGCGAAGGCGACUCUCUGGACUGUAACUGACGCUGAGGCACGAAAGCGUGGGGAGCAAACAGG